rnacentral:rRNA from 1 species
UACGGAGGGGGCGAGCGUUGUCCGAAGUUACUGGGCGUAAAGGGCGCGUAGGCGGGGUGUCACGUCCGCUGUGAAAGCCUGGAGCUUAACUCCAGCGGGUCGAUGGAUACGGACACUCUUGAAGGCAUUAGGGGAAGAUGGAAUUACCCAUGGAGCGGUGAAAUGCGUAGAGAUGGGUAGGAACACCGGUGGCGAAGGCAAUCCCCUGGGCCUGCACUGACGCUCAUGCACGAAAGCGUGGGGGGCAAACAGG